UACGUAGGGUGCAAGCGUUGUCCGGAUUUAUUGGGUUUAAAGGGUGCGUAGGCGGCCUGUUAAGUCAGUGGUGAAAUCCAACAGCUCAACUGUUGAUGUGCCAAUGAUACUGACAGGCUUGAGUACAGACGAGGUAGGCGGAAUUGACAGUGUAGCGGUGAAAUGCAUAGAUAUUGUCAAGAACACCGAUAGCGAAGGCAGCUUGCUAGCCUGUAACUGACGCUGAGGCACGAAAGUAUGGGGAUCAAAC
rnacentral:rRNA from 1 species